CCUCCCCAUCUAAACCACCUCCCCUCCCCGUCUAAACCACCUUCCCUCCCCAUCUGAACCCAUAGUCUUUGCCUAAACCAUAUCCCAUUCCCUUCUAAACACGUGACCACUGCUUUAAUCCAUUAUUCCCGGUGCUUAUUCGUUCCUCUUCCUCAACGAUGUUAUUGUCUACAAAAUGUUUAUGGUAAUGCACAUUAUACUUAUUUUUUUUUUGCAUGUAUAUACAGCAUGCCAUUUUUUAUUUUGGUUUCAUAAUCGCACCUUCUUGAUUGGAAUAUUUAUUUGCAAUAAGGAGGUGGUAAGUAGCUUAGUGGUGAGACCAUAUGGCUCAUACCCUUAAAAUUAUAAGAUGUCGGCUAAAUGUAUGGGCACGUUUUCAUAACACCUGUGUCUGUCUAGCACAGUGAUUCUCAACCAGGGGUAAAUGUACCCCUUGGGGGUAAAAAAAUUACAUGGCAAGGGGCAAAUAUUUGAUGUAAAAAACCUGAAUAAUUUUUUUUUCUGACCUUGUUUUUCUUUCUCUUUACGAUGGCGAUAAUUUUUUUUGUAUGGAAGUAAGGGGGUAAAUCGAGAAAUACAUCAAGUCGAGGGGGUUAAUGAAAUAGGAAAAGUUGAGAAUCCCUGGUCUAGCAGCAAGCAUAAUUAACAGUGUGCUAGCAAACUGUUGUUGCUCAUAAUGAAGAAAAAAAUUUCUAUGCAUUUAUAUUAGAAGCUCUAAUAUAAAUGCAUAGUAUUUAUAUUAGAACUUCUAACAGGCAACUAUGGCACUGUCCGUUUCAUAGUUGCCUGUUUCAUCAUGGAUCUGUAAUGCUAUAGUGAGAUGUCGACAUCUGGGGUACGUGAAAGUUGAAGCCACAGGAUUUUCACAAUGAAAGCCUACUUUUGUGACACACACAGUCUUCCUUGAUAUCUUUUUAAAUAUUUCAUCCAAGUGAAAGUGUUUCAUGUGCUUUGAUCUUUCCAUAUGUAAUUUUUCAUACAUAAAAAAAAAGAAUAUUAGCUCUUGUUCCGUCACAAAGGAAAGUUGUUCUUGUUCUCUGAUUAGUUCACUUCACUCCACAAGGGGGGCAGUAAAGCAAUAGCAAAGGACUACAGACCAACAACGCUAACGUCUCGUAUCAUAAAAAAUCUAGAUACUCAUCAGUUACACAACCCAGGGCAGCAUGGGUUUAGAGCAUGUCGCUCCUGUCUGUCCCAGCUACUGGACCACUAUGACAAGGUCCUGGAUGCUUUAGAAGACAAAAUGCAGAUGUAAUAUACACAGACUUUGCAAAAGCCUUUGACAAGUGUUACCAUGGUGUAAUAGCGCACAAAAUGCGUGAUAAAGGAAUAACAGGAAAAGUUGGUAGAUGGAUCUAUAAUUUCCUAACAAAUAGAACACAAAGAGUAGUAGCAAACAGAGUAAAGUCUGAGGCGGCUACAGUGAAAAGCUCUGUUCCACAAGGCACAGUACUCGCUCCCAUCUUGUUCCUCAUCCUCAUAACUGACAUAGACAGGGAUACAAGCCACAGCGCUGUGUCUUCCUUUGCAGAUGACACCCGAAUUUGCAUGACUGUCCUCCAUUGAAGACACUGCAAGACUCCAGGCGGACAUCAACCAAAUCUUUAAACGGGCCAAAGAAAACAGUAUGAAAUUCAUUGAUGAGAAAUUUCAAUUACUCCGAUAUGGAAAACGUGAGGAAAUUAAAACUGCAUCGGAAUAUAAAACAAAUUCCAACCACACAAUAGAGCGAAAAACAAAUGUAAAAGACCUGGAAGUGAUCAUGUCAGAGGAUCUCACCUUCAAAGACCAUAACAUUGUAUCAAUUACAUCUGCUAGAAAAAUGACAAGAUGGAUAAUGAGAACCUUCAAAACUAGGGAUGCCAAGCCCAUGAUGACACUCUUCAGGUCGCUUGUUCUAUCUAGGCUGGAAUAUUGCUGCACACUAACAGCACCUUUUCAAGGCAGGUGAAAUUGCUGACCUAGAAAAUGUAGAGAGAACCUUCACGGCACACAUAAAUGUGAUAAAACACCUCAGUUACUGGGAACACUUGAAGUUCCUCAACCUGUACUCCCUAGAACGCAGGCGGGAAAGAUACACGAUUAUAUACACGUGGAAAAUCCUAGAGGGAUUAGUACCAAAUUUUCACACGAAAAUCACUCCUUAUGAAAGCAAAAGACUCGGCAGACGAUGCAACAUCCCCCCAAUGAAAAGCAGGGGUGUCACUAGCACGAUAAGAGACAACACAAUAAGUGUCAAGGGCCCAAGACUGUUCAACUGCCUCCCAACAUACAUAGACCCCUGGCUGUCUUCAAGCAGGCACUGGACAGACAACUAAAGUUAGUACCUGACCAGCCGGGCUGUGGUUCGUACGUCGGUUUACGUGCGACCAACAGUAACAGCCUAGUUGAUCAGGCCCUGACCCACCAUGAGGCCUGGUCACGGAGACCCCCGAAACCGUCUCUAGGUAUACUCUAGACAGCUCAAUUAAUUUGUCAUUAGCCAUAGCUAUUGACAAGUUAUUGUAUAGCUAUUAACUCUAGCCAAAGAGGGUUAAUCGUUAGCAAAAUAGGGUAAUAAUUGAACAAAAUUAAGCAGCUACAGUGGAAACAAGUGAGCGUGUAGUACAUAUAUAUGUUCUUUGUGGCCACUCAGUAAACUGGUGUGGCAAAAAUAAGUAGUCUCGUAAUUUUGUCCUGACCAAAAGAGGUGCCGGACCAUCCAUUACCGUUGUCAGGAAAUUCAUCACAUCUUUAUGUAGUUCAUAUGAUGGCAGAUGAGUGGGAAUCAUUUGAUUACUAAUAGCUACUGUUUUAGCCAUGGGGAUACAUCCAGCCCGAAUCUUGCGUCAGAGGAGUAUACCUCCUCCAGCAGUCCUAGUGCAACUGUGUAAAGGACACGAGACCCAGGAGGAAGAGGCACGACCUGCAUGUAAGGUCCGCAUGUGGUGUGAGGACACAAGUUUCUGUGAGUGGAAAGAUAGAGAGUGGUGGUGUAGGGGCAUGGAGGGUGGAAGGAACAUGCCACAGGUGGUAACAAUUAUGGUCUACAUGAUGCUGUGCCUGCUGCUGGUGCUGAGCGCAGUGUUCAUGUCGUGCUUCUCCGUUGUCUCAGCCACUGUGUUCCUCUCAACUCUCACCCCUAAGUUCUACGUGGCACUAACAGGAACCUCCUCCCUAAUAUCUGGACUUAUUUUGAUAUUUGAAUGGUGGUACUUCAGAAAAUAUGGCACGUCUUUUAUUGAGCAAGUUUCCCUUAAUCAUCUCAGUCCAUGGAUUGGUGGGGGAGAAAAUCCUGCAGCAGACAAUACCACUGCAAGCUCCAACAACAAUAAUAACCAGCAGAGUGUACCAGAGUGUAAAGUUUGGCGCAAUCCUCUUAAUUUAUUUCGUGGUUCUGAAUAUCAACGGUUAACGUGGUCAACCAAAAAAGAGCCGUUGACUUAUUAUGAUAUGAACCUAUCUGCUCAGGACCACCAGACCUUCUUCACUUGUGAGGCUGAUGCUGGCAAGCCGGAAUAUGAAAUAAUGCAGACUGCGUGGAGGGAAAGAAACCCAGAAGUUCGCAUCAAAUCUGCACGUUCUGCUUUAGAUCUGAACCCAGAAUGUGCCUCGGCAUAUAUUCUGCUAGCAGAGGAAGAAUGUACCUCUAUUAUUGAAGUGGAGAAGAAGUUGAAAAUAGCUCUGAAACAUGCAGAGACAAAUUACAGAAGAUCUCAAGUAACACAACACCAGAGUAGUGCAAUGGAAGCUUUACAUAGACGAGACACAAAUGUAUUCAUAUAUAUUAAGAGACGGCUAGCCAUGUGUGCUCGAAAAUUAGGCAAAAUGAAGGAAGCAAUAAAGAUGUUUCGAGAUAUCCAACCAGGCCGGGUCCAGGCGAGAGAUGAGUCAUCUUGUACAGUCCUCUACCUUGUGCAGAAGUCAGAGAUGAGACGGGGAACAAGCAAUCCAAGAAAAUGGUGUAUACUCAAGUUAACCAAAGAAGUGCCUCCAAUUAUGAAUGUGUUAAACCUUCAUGAAAAUCUUCUGGAGGCGCUACUAGAGGUCGGGGCAUAUGCUGAUGCUCAGGCAGUUCUGGCUAAAUAUGAUGAUAUAGCACUACCCAAGUCUGCUACUAUAUGUUACACAGCGGCACUCUUGAAGGCGCGCACAGUAGCUGAUAAAUUUUCUCCAGAUAUAGCCAGUAAACGUGGUCUCACAGCAGCAGAAAUGGCAGCGGUUGAAGCUAUUCACCGUGCUGUAGAGUUCAAUCCACAUGUUCCCAAGUAUCUCCUGGAGAUGAAGCCUCUCAUUCUUCCACCAGAGCACAUCCUUAAGCGAGGCGACUCUGAGGCUAUUGCUUAUGCAUUUUUUCACCUUCCACAUUGGAAGAGGGUGGAUGGGGUUCUGAAUCUCCUUCACUGCACUUGGGAGGGAACCUUCCGUAUCAUUCCAUAUCCUCUAGAAAAAGGUCACCUCUUCUACCCUUACCCUACGUGUACAGAGUGUGCUGACCGAGAGCUUCUACCAUCUUUCCAUGAGGUGUCAGUAUACCCAAAGAAGGAGUUGCCAUUCUUCAUUGUGUUUACCGCAGGGUUGUGUUCCUUCACAGCUCUUCUGGCACUACUCACUCACCAGUAUCCAGAACCCAUGGGGGCCCUGGCCAAGACGACCUCACUGAUGAGAGCUGCGACUCUAUGCACGAGACUAUGACACCUACAUCAUUUAUUUUUGGUACAGUUUGCUCCUGAGUUGGUGGUAUGUUCCCAUCCAGUAUGUGCUAGAGAAGUUAGAAGCGGUUUUGCCUUCAAAUCUCCUACAUCACUUAUCACGAAUCUGACCAUCAUGCUUAAGUAUGGUAGCAACUGCUGGGAGCAUCAUUCUUUGUCAUUGACGUUUCAUUUCAACACAUCCUGCAGCAGAUAUUGUUAUUGUGUCAAAAUUAGCUACUGAUAGUGUUGGUUGGUGCAGUAAAACUAUUUCCUGAUAUUGAAGAUUUUAGUUUUAAUUAAAUCAACCGCAGGCUCCAAUUGCUUAUUUUGUCACACCUAGUGUUGUGAUUUGCUGUUUAGAGUUACAAAUUGUACUUAAGUAUGCUUGAACUUGUAUGGUUAUUUAUGAAUGAAGAGAGACAAACAUGACUCGUACUGAGAUGCUGGUGUCCAUUGCACAAAACAAUCAAGAUAUAUUUAUUUU